UACGGGGGGGGCAAGCGUUGUUCGGAAUUACUGGGCGUAAAGGGCGCGUAGGCGGUCGUGACAAGUCACUUGUGAAAUCUCCGGGCUUAACUCGGAACGGUCAAGUGAUACUGUCGGACUAGAGUACAGAAGGGGCAACUGGAAUUCUCGGUGUAGCGGUGAAAUGCGUAGAUAUCUGGAGGAACACCGGUGGCGAAGGCGGCACU
rnacentral:rRNA from 1 species